GAGGGAGAAUUGCAUCAUUAAGUCUGUCCGUCCGGCUGUCAUCUGGGCUCACCAUCAUGAGACUCUUUCCAGCUGAGUCAUCUGGGGAGCCAAAAGGAAGGUGUUCAAAGCUGACAGCUUUGCUAUAGGAAGGUGGUGCUUCUGCAUUGCUGUCCACAGUGGAGUACAAUGGUACAUCGGUGUCGGGAGUAUAUGCAGCUCCUUCUGAACCCAGGCUAUAAUCUUCCACCUCUUCUUCAUCCUGCCUUGAAGCAGAAUGAGCUCCUUCCUCUUCAUGCUCUCCUUCUACCUCCUCAAUGGUUUCUGUCGUCCCCUGACGAGAAUAGAGCAUGGUGACCUGUGUAGGCUCGCUGGAGAUACUGUCUCGAGAAGCUGCUGAAUCUAAACUAUCCAUUCUUUCAGAUGUUUGCAAACCAGAAGCUUGCCCAGGAUUUUUAUCAAUAGAGUCCAGUCCUGACUCCUUAGAAAGUUUCAUCAUAUGGUUCUGGUAAUACAUAUGGAUGCUCUCCCGGGUAGGAACGUUUCCCUUCUUAAUCUCCCUGGUCAGCAUACAACGUUCGAUUCUCAGCACAGUAGAGAUAUCGAUGUGUUCUCUUGAGAUGGAAUUAAGCCAAGCUGUAAAACUGUCUAGUGUUGCCAGGAAAAGGACCCAAGUGAACUUCAAAAUAUUAAAUAUCCUCUUGAUGAUGUUAUCUGGGCCAUCAGACUUCUUCUUGACAGGUUCUUCUUCACUGUCUUCGCAGUCUGCAUCAGUACUUCCAUCCCCAUAUACUUUACGCCUUCGCUUCUCCUCUUUUUGAAAGCUUUUCUUUUCCUUGCGCCUCUGUCGUAGCGCAGUUUUAGGAUCAGUAAUCCAGGCCUGAUAAACAAACUGAAAUGCAGAUUUUUUUCGAGGCUCUUCCUCUUCUUUUUUCUCUUCUUCCUCUUCCUCUUCACUGUCCGUCUCAAACAAAUAAUAAUUUCCACUUCUGACCAUGGAAGCAUGAUCAACCCAAGGCCGCCACCACAGCUUUUUUUUGCCCUUGGCUUUCUCUUUGUCUGCUUCUCCUUCAUCAUCUUCUUCCGAAACCUUCCGAAUUUCAGGCCCCUCUGUGGAAUCCUGUGUCAUGCUUAGCAUCCUC
rnacentral:lncRNA from 1 species